rnacentral:tRNA from 1 species
UUAGCUCAGCUGGUAGAGCUCCCGUCUUGUAAACGGAAGGUCGUCGGUUCGAACCCGACA